rnacentral:rRNA from 1 species
CCCUUAGAUGUCCUGGGCUGCACGCGCGCUACACUGAUGUGUCCAGUAAGCACCUAACCUCUUCCGAAAGGAACGGGUAACCUUUGCAAAGCACAUCGUGAUGGGGAUAGAUUAUUGCAAUUAUUAGUCUUGAACGAGGAAUUCCUAGUAAGCACAAGUCAUCAGCUUGUGUUGAUUACGUCCCUGCCCUUUGUACACACCGCCCGUCGCUCCUACCGAUUGAGUGGUCCGGUGAGGCUUUGGGAUCUGAGCGGAAAGAGCGUUUCGCUGUUUCUGCUCGGAAAACUCAGUCGAACCUUAUCAUUUAGAGGAAGGAGAAGUCGUAACA